GACGAACGCUGGCGGCGUGCUUAACACAUGCAAGUCGAACGGUAAGGCCCUUCGGGGUACACGAGUGGCGAACGGGUGAGUAACACGUGGGUGAUCUGCCCUGCACUUCGGGAUAAGCCUGGGAAACUGGGUCUAAUACCGGAUAGGUCCAUUGCCUGCAUGGGUGGUGGUGGAAAGCUCUUGCGGUGUGGGAUGGGCCCGCGGCCUAUCAGCUUGUUGGUGGGGUGAUGGCCUACCAAGGCGACGACGGGUAGCCGGCCUGAGAGGGUGACCGGCCACACUGGGACCGAGAUACGGCCCAGACUCCUACGGGAGGCAGCAGUGGGGAAUAUUGCACAAUGGGCGCAAGCCUGAUGCAGCGACGCCGCGUGAGGGAUGACGGCCUUCGGGCUGUAAACCUCUUUCAGCACCGACGAAGCGCAAGUGACGGUAGGUGCAGAAGAAGGACCGGCCAACUACGUGCCAGCCGCCGCGGUAA
rnacentral:rRNA from 1 species